UACGGCCAUCUCUUGUUGAAACUCUGGUUCCCCUAUCAUCACUGAAGUUAAGCAACAUCAAGCCUGGUCUGUAUUUAGAUGGGUGACUAUUUGGGAAUACUAGGUGCU